rnacentral:rRNA from 1 species
AAUGAACGUUGGCGGCGUGGAUUAGGCAUGCGAGUCGAGCGUGUACCCGCAAGGGGAAAGCGGCAAACGGGGUAGGAAUGAGUAGGUCACGUACCCUCCGGACGGGGAUAGCCACGGGAAACUGUGGGUAAUACCCGAUAACGCCGAGAGGCCAAAGGUGUGAUUCCACCGGGGGAACGGCCUGCUUAGUAUUAGCUAGUUGGCGAGGUAAUGGCUCACCAAGGCUAAGAUGCUUAGGGGAUGUGAGAGCAUGAUCCCCACCACUGGGACUGAGAUACUGCCCAGACACCUACGGGUGGCUGCAGUCGAGAAUCUUCGGCAAUGGGGGCAACCCUGACCGAGCGACGCCGCGUGUGGGAUGAAGGCCCUUGGGUUGUAAACCACUGUCAGAGGGGAUGAAACGAUCAUGGGUUCUCCCAUGGUCCUGACAUAGCCUCAGAGGAAGCACGGGCUAAGUUCGUGCCAGCCGCCGCAGUAACAC